AAUGUUAGACUCCUUACUUGCUCAAGCUAAAGCACUCUUUAGUAAUAGAGCAUUCAUCACCAGCCUAGCUACUCCCUAAGCCUAACCCAAGCUUUAGCAAGGGUAAUGGCUUAGGGAAUACAAGGCUAGGUGUGUUGCGCUAGCGCAGGAGGGGGAUAACAAACGGUGGUGUCACAAAAUCGGAGGCCACGACUGUUUACUAAAAACACAAUUCAGAGCAAUGAUGAAAAUCAUAGUAUUCUGGAUGAAAUUUGCCCGAUGCCAUUAACAUAAAAGAGGUAAUGGGAAACUGUUACUAAUUGAAAGUCUGGUUAAUAGCGGUCUUAACUAUGAGGAUCCUAAGGUAGCAAAAUCAGUUGGCCAUUAAAUGUGGUCUGGUAUCAAUAGUGUAACGAUGGUCUCACUGUCUCUACAACUUGCUCAGUGAAAUUGAAUUAUCCGUGCAGAUGCG
rnacentral:rRNA from 1 species